rnacentral:rRNA from 1 species
UACGUAGGGGGCGAACGUUGAUCGGAGUUACUGGGCGUAAAGAGUAUGUAGGCGGUUUGCUAAGUUUGGUGUGAAAUCUCCUGGCUUAACUGGGAGGUUGCGCCGAAUACUGGUAGGCUUGAGUGUGGGAGAGGAAAGUGGAAUUCCUGGUGGAGCGGUGAAAUGCGUAGAUAUCAGGAGGAACACCGGUGGCGUAAACGGCUUACUGGACCAUGACUGACGCUGAGGUGCGAAAGCGUGGGUAGCAAACAGG